UACGUAGGGUGCAAGCGUUGUCCGGAAUUAUUGGGCGUAAAGAGCUCGUAGGCGGUCUGUCGCGUCGGCUGUGAAAUCCCGAGGCUCAACCUCGGGUCUGCAGUCGAUACGGGCAAACUGGAGUGUUGCAGGGGAGACUGGAAUUCCUGGUGUAGCGGUGAAAUGCGCAGAUAUCAGGAGGAACACCGGUGGCGAAGGCGGUUCUCUGGGCAACAACUGACGCUGAGGAGCGAAAGCGUGGGGAGCGAACAGG
rnacentral:rRNA from 1 species